CAGAACCUUCUUCUUCCAUCACCUUCUCUAAAGCCUAUUCAUUCUUUGCUAGCUUAGAGCCUCCUUUCUCAGUGAAUGAAGUCUUCCCUGACUUUUCCAGCUCACAUGAAAACUCCUUUCUCUGACCUCCACACAUAUUUUUUUAAAGUUUAUUAUUUUUAAAUAAAUAAUAAAGCUAUAGAUUUAUUGUUUGAUAAAUUAAUUGAUUUACUGCAUAGUAUAUAUCAGGUACCUAAAUGAGCUGGACAGAUACAUGUAUGGAGCCCCCUAACUCACAGGUACUUCUCCUAGGUUGUUACUGACUUAAUUUGACCAAUUACAAAGUCACCCAACUGUAUUGUGCAGAAGCUGGAAAAAUAGAAAACUUUAAAGAAAGAAAACACUAUUACUUUAGACUUUGGGGUGGAAUGCUGGAUAAGUGACAUUUUUCACUAGCUUUCCUCCGAUUUUAAAGGAGCCAUACUGGAUUGUUCUUCAUGAUCGAAUUGUGAGUGUCAUCAGCAGCCCCAGCCUGACGUCUGAAACAGAGUGGGUUGGCUAUCCAUUCCGCCUCUUUGAUUUCACUGCCUGUCAUCAGUCCUACUCUGAGAUGAGUUGUAGCUAUACAUUAGCUCUCGCACAUGCCGUGUGGCACCAUUCUAGCAUCGGACAACUUUCUCUCAUUCCAAAGUUUCUUACUGAAGUACUUCUUCCUAUAGUGAA
rnacentral:sRNA from 1 species